ACUGGAGCUCCCUGCAUACCUGAGGCCUUCUAAGGGCCUGAAGAUCAGCCACCCUGGAGGAACGUGAGUUGGCUCAACGUGGCAUCUUAUCAUUCAGAGGCAGCCCGGGGAGCAGCUGGUGGGGACAGCACUUUGGCAGCAGUGUUUUGCAUGUAGCUGGAUUACGGUGCUGCAAGUCCUGUGUCAGGAGGUAACUCAGCAUGGCAGCCCUGCGAUGGCCUCUCCCUCAUCUGUGUUGGCUGGAGAACCUCUGCCAGUGUCAGAAAAUCUAAAUUGGUCCAAAUCCUGACAGCAAGAGGUGAUACCACUGAAGUAUUCAUUCCUAGGGAGUGCUCAUUCCUAGGGAGGUUGUUAAGAGAUGCAAGUCCUCCCGUACUGAAAUGCAGAGCAGCUUCCCCAGAGACACUGAUGAGUGCAUUCCUCUGCAGCUGAACGCAAGGUUGCUUUGUGAUGUGUGGAGAGAAAUAGAGGUGAUGCCAAAAGAGGCAUGCAGUUGGGAGGCAGACCCAUCGUGAGAUGAAUGCACCAUGUAGGGUAACCUCACCCCCAGGGCCUUGCAGUGGGGUUUCACAGAUCGUACAGUAGCAAAGUGCACACAUGGCAAGCAAGAAUGAGGAACAGGAGCACCAAAAACACUGUUAUAAUACUGUCUUAUCAUUGAAAUUUGCUAGAAAAUAAAAAAAGGAAGGUGUCAGACUAGUGGGUUCCAAGACAUUGGAAAAGGCAGAAGUAAAAGAGGAGAGACUGUGUUUUUGUAAAAACCUUAAAAUAGUUAUGAGAGCUUGGCUAAACAAAGCUGUGGGCCUCCAUUCAGCGCUCUCAGGCAUAGACAUUGUUGCUGCUGCCUGUUGCAGCCCUGGAUGGGUUUGCAGAUGGUAGGAGGCUUUGCAUGUAGGGUCCUGGGAAGUGGAUACCGGCUUGGAAACACAUCCAGAAAAAGAUGCCAGCAAGAAGGCAAAGUGACAUGAGAUGACUAAAUUUUUGCUUAAACCACUGUUAGUAAAUAACCCCCAGUUCACUAAGAAUUGCUUCCUGAUGUUGGAAUGGCAAAGGAGGGCUACAGAGUCACGGCUUCUCCCUGUGAUAGACCCUGGGCUUAGCCAGGCACUCAGAUGGCAGAGCUGAGGUUGGAGGGGGCCAACUCUUAACUUUCUCCCGUAUCAAUGGCUCUGGAUACCUGCUCUGUACUGCUCGUGUAACACAAGCCUUCCCAUCACCUGUGGCCACCCUACAGAGCAGUUCCAGCCAUGAUUUGCACCAGCUGUCCUUUCAAAUGGAAAUAAGUACGGGCCGGGCUAUGAAUGCAGACUCCUUGAAAGGUUUCCAGAAUUACAUUAAAGCAGACAGCCUGGGCAAAGAAGAUCAAAAAGGAAGUCACAGUCAGAAUUUACCUAGGCUUCCAGGGAGCAACCUAAUAAAGCGUCGUGAAUAAUAC
rnacentral:lncRNA from 1 species